UACGAAGGGGGCUAGCGUUGCUCGGAAUCACUGGGCGUAAAGGGUGCGUAGGCGGGUCUUUAAGUCAGGGGUGAAAUCCUGGAGCUCAACUCCAGAACUGCCUUUGAUACUGAAGAUCUUGAGUUCGGGAGAGGUGGGUGGAACUGCGAGUGUAGAGGUGAAAUUCGUAGAUAUUCGCAAGAACACCAGUGGCGAAGGCGGCUCACCGGCCCGAUACUGACGCUGAGGCACGAAAGCGUGGGGAGCAAACAGG
rnacentral:rRNA from 1 species